GAGUCCAGACCGAGACCCAGAGAAAUGUAAACAAACGCACCAGUCAGACUUGAUAUAAUAGUGAAUUUGUUGCUUUUUAAAGCGGCAGUCGGUCUGUACAUGUGUGAGGUGGCGAGGGGUGUCGCCAGGGGGCGGCUAGUAGCGUCUGCCACCAGGGAAAUAUGUAAAAACAUAAAAAAGACGCUUCUCAAGAAAGAGAGGGGCAGUCGGUCUGUACAUGCGUGAGGUGGCGAGGGCCGUGUCCAGGGGGCGGCUAGUAGCGUGUGCCACCAUGGAAAUAUGUACAGACAUAAAGAAGACGCCCUCAAGAAAGGCCUGAGUCCAGACCGAGACCCAGAGAAAUGUAAACAAACGCACCAGUCAGACUUGAUAUAGGAGUGAAUUUGUUGCUUUUUAAAGCGGCAGUCGGUCUGUACAUGUGUGAGGUGGCGAGGGGUGUCGCCAGGGGGCGGCUAGUAGCGUCUGCCACCAGGGAAAUAUGUAAAAACAUAAAAAAGACGCUUCUCAAGAAAGAGAGGGGCAGUCGGUCUGUACAUGCGUGAGGUGGCGAGAGGCGUGUCCAGGGGGCGGCUAGUAGCGUGUGCCACCGUGGAAAUAUGUACAGACAUAAAGAAGACGCCCUCAAGAAAGGCCUGAGUCCAGACCGAGACCCAGAGAAAUGUAAACAAACGCACCAGUCAGACUUGAUAUAGGAGUGAAUUUGUUGCUUUUUAAAGCGGCAGUCGGUCUGUACAUGUGUGAGGUGGCGAGGGGUGUCGCCAGGGGGCGGCUAGUAGCGUCUGCCACCAGGGAAAUAUGUAAAAACAUAAAAAAGACGCUUCUCAAGAAAGAGAGGGGCAGUCGGUCUGUACAUGCGUGAGGUGGCGAGAGGCGUGUCCAGGGGGCGGCUAGUAGCGUGUGCCACCGUGGAAAUAUGUACAGACAUAAAGAAGACGCCCUCAAGAAAGGCCUGAGUCCAGACCGAGACACAGAGAAAUGUAAACAAACGCACCAGUCAGACUUGAUAUAGGAGUGAAUUUGUUGCUUUUUAAAGCGGCAGUCGGUCUGUACAUGUGUGAGGUGGCGAGGGGUGUCGCCAGGGGGCGGCUAGUAGCGUCUGCCACCAGGGAAAUAUGUAAAAACAUAAAAAAGACGCUUCUCAAGAAAGGUAAGGCCGGUUGCAGCUUUUAUUUUUUCUUUAUUUCUUUCCAUCAGGUUAGUUUUAUAUUAAUUCAGUUAGUUAGGUUUGGUUAAGUCUCUCUCUCUCUCUCU